GGGGGGGGAGCAAGCGUUGUUCGGAAUCACUGGGCGUAAAGGGCGCGUAGGCGGGCCGAGUAAGUCGCGUGUGAAAGGGCCGGGGGCUCAACCCCGUGUACUGCAUGCGAUACUGCACGGCUUGAGAAAGGUAGAGGUGAGCGGAAUUCCCGGUGUAGCGGUGGAAUGCGUAGAUAUCGGGAAGAACACCAGUGGCGAAGGCGGCUCGCUGGGCCUUUUCUGACGCUGAAGCGCGAAAGCGUGGGGAGCAAACAGGAUUAGAUACCCUGGUAGUCCACGCCGUAAACGCUGGGUACUAGGUGUUGGGAGGAUUGACCCUUUCAGUGCCGACGCUAACGCAUUACGUACCCCGCCUGGGGAGUACGGCCGCAAAGGCUG
rnacentral:rRNA from 1 species